UGUGGUGAGGAGAAAGAGGGGCGCGUCGCUUGGGAUCGCGAGAGUGGGAGAGGGAGGGAGACCUAGGUGGCGGCGGCGUGUGUUGAGGAGGAAGACCUAGGUGGCAGCGGCGGGGGUUGGGGUGAGGGAGGGAGACCUAGAGCUGCACGGCGGCGGGGGAGUGUGAGAGUGGCGGCACCCGACCUCCACGUUGUGACCUAGGUCAGGUCCCGUGGUGGUAGUAUGUCGUGGUGGUGGUCGGCCGCAGCACCCACCCCACGACGCGGGCUGGUUCAGACGGGGGACGGAGGGGCACGGGCUGGCGAGCGAGGCGGAGUUGGAGCGGCAGAGGUUCCUGGACGCGGCGGCGGAGAUCCUAGUGCAGAAGCGCGAGUUCCUCCUGAGGUGCGACGGCGGGCAGCGUAGCUGGAGUAGUCCUAGAGAGGGCAGGGGAGGAGGGGAGCGUCGCCGGCGGGACGAGCGCAACAAGGUCGUCACCCCAGAGGCCACGCCGGGCUGCCACUUGGGCCCCGUGGGCACGCCCUGCGCCCUAACCUAGCUCAGGAAACGCGUCUUACGCAGGCAGCCGACGUCGACGCUGGCGACCGGGCACACGGCGUAGUGCGUGGACUUGUAGUGACCUAAGACCUUAGACUGGCUCUAGGGCGGCCUCGAGAAGUUGAGCUGCCUCGACCAGAGAGACAUGUUCCCCUUAAGCGACCGGGUCUACUCCUCGGUUUCGUUGUGGUUCAGUGUCAAAGUGUGCGGCGAAGAUUCCCCUCUAUACGUUCCAAAUUUCUCUUAAACUUACGGUUCGGUGACCUCUGCUUCGUUUUGGUGGUAGUUCAACGACAGAGUACGCGGCGAAGUUUUCCCUCGUUACAGCGAACUACUCAACUACAGCAAGUACUACACUACAAGACAUACGUAUAGUUCCACGGAUUGUUGAUGGUCGUCAAGUACUCGUAGGGCUGACGGGUACAAUUGAGGCGGAGGAUGAAGAGCUGCCUGCGACGUAGGAAGGGGCCGUCCGACCGUUACCGACGCACGGACGCGGGACGACGAAGGUGCGGCCACAGCCGGUGGCGCGGGUCAGCGGUACCGGUCGCCGUCGUCAGAGGAGCCGCCGGCCGUCACACGUCCACACGUGGGACCGUGACCCCUGACCUCCGCACGUUGUAUCUUCCGGUCGUCGAUCAUCGACUCGUCGACAUGUCUCGGCCUCUACCACCGGAGAUAAGUACUAAGCAGAACUCGAAAUCCUACUUCUUCAACCUUCUUCGUUACGUACGACCUAGAUCCGUACGUACGUACGAGAUCAUAGGGACGAAGACUUGGAUCGAUCCCUCCACGUACUGAAACAACAUUGCGACUAAAAAGACCCUUAAAACGACAUGACCACUAAAACGACUCUCAAACCACAUAUAAACGAACGGUGAUACAAAUGAACUUUAAAUAAAGACCUAACCUUUUAUAUAACCGUAACUUAG
rnacentral:rRNA from 1 species